rnacentral:rRNA from 1 species
GAUGAACGCUGGCGGCGUGCCUAAUACAUGCAAGUCGAGCGAACAGACGAGGAUCUUGCUCCUCUGACGUUAGCGGCGGACGGGUGAGUAACACGUGGAUAACCUACCUAUAAGACUGGGAUAACUUCGGGAAACCGGAGCUAAUACCGGAUAAUAUAUUUAACCGCAUGGUUCAAUAGUGAAAGACGGUUUUGCUGUCACUUAUAGAUGGAUCCGCGCCGCAUUAGCUAGUUGGUAAGGUAACGGCUUACCAAGGCAACGAUGCGUAUCCGACCUGAGAGGGGGAUCGGCCACACGGGAACGGAGACACGGUCCAGACUCCUACGGGAGGCAGCAGUAGGGAAUAUUACGCAAUGGGCGAAAGCCUGACGGAGCAACGCCGCGUGAGUGAUGAAGGUCUUCGGAUCGUAAAACUCUGUUAUUAGGGAAGAACAAAUGUGUAAGUAACUAUGCACGUCUUGACGGUACCUAAUCAGAAAGCCACGGCUAACUACGUG